GGGUAGGUGGCCGAGUGGUUAAUGGCACUAGACUGUAAAUCUAGCGAGCGAUGCUCUACGGUGGUUCGAACCCACCCCUGCCCA
rnacentral:tRNA from 1 species